rnacentral:piRNA from 1 species
CAAACUGGCAAGAGCUGAGGGAGCAGCAGG